UACGUAGGGUGCAAGCGUUGUCCGGAAUUAUUGGGCGUAAAGAGCUCGUAGGCGGUCUGUCGCGUCUGCUGUGAAAACUCAGGGCUUAACCCUGAGCUUGCAGUGGGUACGGGCAGACUAGAGUGCGGUAGGGGAGACUGGAAUUCCUGGUGUAGCGGUGAAAUGCGCAGAUAUCAGGAGGAACACCGGUGGCGAAGGCGGGGUCUCUGGGCCGUAACUGACGCUGGAGGAAGCGGAAAGCAUGGGGAGCGAACAG
rnacentral:rRNA from 1 species